UCUUUGCUGACGAGUGGCGGACGGGUGAGUAAUGUCUGGGAAACUGCCUGAUGGAGGGGGAUAACUACUGGAAACGGUAGCUAAUACCGCAUAACGUCGCAAGACCAAAGAGGGGGACCUUCGGGCCUCUUGCCAUCGGAUGUGCCCAGAUGGGAUUAGCUUGUUGGUGGGGUAACGGCUCACCAAGGCGACGAUCCCUAGCUGGUCUGAGAGGAUGACCAGCCACACUGGAACUGAGACACGGUCCAGACUCCUACGGGAGGCAGCAGUGGGGAAUAUUGCACAAUGGGCGCAAGCCUGAUGCAGCCAUGCCGCGUGUAUGAAGAAGGCCUUCGGGUUGUAAAGUACUUUCAGCGGGGAGGAAGGGAGUAAAGUUAAUACCUUUGCUCAUUGACGUUACCCGCAGAAGAAGCACCGGCUAACUCCGUGCCAGCAGCCGCGGUAAUACGGAGGGUGCAAGCGUAAUCGGAAUUACUGGGCGUAAAGCGCACGCAGGCGGUUUGUUAAGUCAGAUGUGAAAUCCC
rnacentral:rRNA from 1 species